rnacentral:rRNA from 1 species
UACGUAGGGUGCAAGCGUUAAUCGGAAUUACUGGGCGUAAAGCGUGCGCAGGCGGCUAUGCAAGACAGGUGUGAAAUCCCCGGGCUUAACCUGGGAACUGCAUUUGUGACUGCAUCGCUGGAGUGCGGCAGAGGGGGAUGGAAUUCCGCGUGUAGCAGUGAAAUGCGUAGAUAUGCGGAGGAACACCGAUGGCGAAGGCAAUCCCCUGGGCCUGCACUGACGCUCAUGCACGAAAGCGUGGGGAGCAAACAGG